rnacentral:rRNA from 1 species
UACGUAGGGGGCAAGCGUUGUCCGGAUUUAUUGGGCGUAAAGAGCGUGUAGGCGGUUUGGUAGGUCCGCUGUGAAAACUCGAGGCUCAACCUCGAGACGCCGGUGGAAACCAUCAGACUAGAGUCCGGAAGAGGAGAGUGGAAUUCCUGGUGUAGCGGUGGAAUGCGCAGAUAUCAGGAGGAACACCGGUGGCGAAGGCGGGUCUCUGGGCAAUAACUGACGCUGAGGAGCGAAAGCGUGGGGAGCGAACAGG